CAUGGAGCCAAUUGCACAUCUCGUGAAGACAUCUAUUCCCAAUUAUUUAGCUGGAUUACCAGUUCCAGAAUCUAUAGGAGGAUGGUUUCGACUGGGAGUACGAGACUGGAUUGCCUUAAUUCCACCGACUGCGUUGUUAGCUGGCAUUGGCUAUAUGUCCUACAAAGCAUUUUGUCCGUUAGCUAGAGGCCCGCCCAGUGGACGUGUCAACCAUAGUGUAAAACUGGAUGUGAAUAAAGUAGUAGAUUUUGUGGAUAUAGAAGAUAUCACAGAAAAAGCUGUGUUUUGUCGGUGUUGGAGAUCUAAGAAUUGGCCAUAUUGUGAUGGCGCUCAUGGACCCCACAAUCAAGAACAGUGUGACAAUGUGGGUCCCCUUGUAGUUACAAAGAAGAAAAACUAAUCUAAAUGAGUGAAUACACAAACAUCUAAAACACCCAUACUGUUCUGGAGAGAUACAGAAGGGAAGGAAUGAACGACCAACUUAUUGAAAAAAUCGGG
rnacentral:misc_RNA from 1 species